AUGUCUUCACUAUUAUUCUACAAUGUAGAAAAUAGUACAAAUAAAGAAAAACCCUUGAAUGAGUAGGUGUGUCCAAACCUUUGACUGGUACUCUACGUACAAUAAAUACUUUGUAACAAUGAAGAGAUUACAAAUUCAAUCGGACGUUCAUGUUAACUUCGCCACCCUCUUCAUACGGUUCUUGUCUGUCCAAUGACUCAUAUUUAAAUAUCUGACUAAUAAUCAACAUUAAACUAUGCUGAAUUGACAAUGUAUGUAUUGCAUUUGCCAAGUUUAUCAAUUAAAAAAAUAUAUAAUAACAUGAUUUAAUUAAAAAAGGAAGAAAUGAUGGAACGUGCUGCUAUAUUUAACAUGUCUACCAUGCAGGAGCAAUUUGAAGAGUAUGUCAGACAGGGGGUCCUGGUUGGGGCUGUGUACUAGUCCGUCACAACUACCUCUCCACUCAUUUAUUAAUGACCGGAGUCUGUCAACGGAACAUUCUCAGACUGACUCACUAGAGAUGAUUGACAGCUGUGUGUGAUGUGGCCUAAGCUAGGCUGGUUCCCUGAGUACAUCUCUCUCUUGGUGAUCUACCACAGUCUCUUUGAUGUCACACGUACGGCACCCCUCUGAUGUCACAAGGCCCUCUGACGAGACCUGCUGUGCUGCAGCUUCUACUCAGAUCAGUCACCUCCGCAUCUGACAAAACAAAGCCAAAGGUGCUAGAUACUGCUGGUCCCACCAGAUGCCCAGGUCCUCGAUGUUCUAUUCAAAUCAAAUGUUUUGGUCACAUGCACAUAUUUAGCUUGUGUAGUGAAAUGCUUGGGUAACUUGCUACGUCACUGUAUGUAUGUAAUAUCACAUUACGCCAUACUCGACACCUCAACAUUUCCCUGACAAGAUUAGCUAUUGAGUUAUAAAGGUGUUUGUUUGCUGGUUGUUGUCUUGUUGGUUGGUUGGAAUAGAACCACGAGAAGCAAUGUUCUCUAUCGGUUUAUGUAUCAUUGACAUUGGGAGGUGGGGAUUUGGCAGGAGAUUGAUUCAACAGCAAAAUAAUCCUCCCUAAUGCUUGUAGGAUUUGCGGAGAAAAUAGCUAAUUGAAUUAAGCUUAGUAAACUUUUGUGGAUUUCUUUUUUAUUUUACCCUUAUUUUACCAUGUAGGUUGACUGAGAACACAUUGUCAUUUACAGCAACAACCUGGGGAAGAGUUACAGGGGAGAGGAGGGGGAUGAAAGAGCCAAUUGUAAGCUGGGGAUGAUUAGCUGACCAUGAUGGUAAUAAGGGCCAGAUGGGGAAUUUAGCCUGGACACCAGGGUUACCACCCCUACUCUUACCAUAAGUGCCAUGGGAUCUUUAGUGGCCACAGAGAAUCAGGACACCUGUUUAACAUCCCAUCAGCAAAGCUGAACUCAGAAUACCCUUUCCAGUGUCUCUUAGCUGUUCACAAUUUUAUUUUGUGGAACCCUGCCCACGUAGAAUCCCUACCUACCUCUUUGAAAACAUGAACACUAUCGCACUGUACCUUACCACAACCCUGGGAUGUGUUUAUUAAGCACAGGCAGGGAAUAAUGUUUUCAAAUGGAGGCAAAAGUGAGCAUUCUAAAUCAAUAUCUAGGUAGUACUUCCUCUGUUUCAAACUAUUUGCUUGUGUUUCUUGGUUACUGAACUCACCCAAGUAUUUGCACCACCUCAGCUCUCAGACUUGCCUUCCACAGAGACUCUGGAGCAAUGCACAUAUAUGGCCAAAUGCAGAAAAACAUGCUAUGUGACAAAAAUCAACACAUUUGGUCUGAAGUGUAUUGUAUCAGACGUAUUGCACCGCUUGUUUAUUGGAACAGAGCUGUAGUGGGAUACAGUGGUCACUAGAUGGAGCUCUCUGCACAGCCGGUGUGUUAUAGCUCCAUCUGAAAGAGCUGCUAAAUCACCAGAGUUCAUGGGGGAUUGAUUUAUCAGAGUGUUUUGUAUGGCAGUGUAGUGGGUGAGUGUGCUUGGGGGUGUCCUUCCAAGAACCCUGUGUGCUUUUUGUAUUCAGUGUGUGUAAUUGUUUCCAGAUGUGUGGGGAAUAUGACUCUACUCUCCUCCAUCUCCCUUGGCAUCCCUCCUCCUCUCUGUCUCUCAUCAAAUGUUUCUGCCAUCAUGUUUCUUCUGCCAGCUGUCCCGAGGGCAGGAUUGGCCAGGGUGAGGUUAUAGAGGGCUUAUGGCUGCUUAUGAGCUUCCUAUGCACAUGUGUCACAUGACUAAGUCAUUCCCAAUGACAACAGGUGUCCUGGAUCACGUUUGACUGCUAUCAGUGUGCAUUGUGUUGUAUGGUCAGCUGGUGUUUAUUGGAACCCAGUUCCUAUGUUUGUCACCCAAAACCAUUAUAUGGUGAUAAAACCAUCAGCAAUAUUGAUAUCCUCCAAAACAAUAAAAAAAAGGUGACCUUUUAAGAUGUUAAUAUACACUAUUAGCUGUAUCUUAUAUAGAACUUUUAGUAAAAACCCAAAGAUGUGUUGCACAAACUGAUUGCUUACGUUCAGACUAGUAUGGGCUUGUUUUUUUGUGUUUUUUUUCUGUGUGUAUGUGUGUGUGUGUGUCAUCUGUUGGGGAAAAGGCAACACUCUACGUGAGGCAUUUAUCUACUAAUUUAUUUUCAUGACAGCAGAGAAGCUGAGUCACAGUAGCCUCCCUCUCCUCUCCCUUCAUCCAAUGACCCCAUCAGUCCCUGUUGCCCUCCUGUGUACAGAACAUUCACUCAGAGGUCAGAAUAUAGACUCAGAGGUCACACGUCAUUUUACAGGGACUGAUUUUCAUUUUGUCAUCCUUCCUCCACCUCUUUCAUUUUGUCAUCCUUCCUCCACCUCUUUCAUUAUGUCAUCCUUCCUCCACCUCUUUCAUUAUGUCAUCCUUCCUCCACCUCUUUCAUUUUGUCAUCCUUCCUCCACCUCUUUCAUUAUGUCAUCCUUCCUCCACCUCUUUCAUUUUGUCAUCCUUCCUCCACCUCUUUCAUUUUGUCAUCCUUCUCUUUCUGUUGUUGUUAAAGUUAUUUUCUUUCACACAGACAUAUGAACAGAUCUACAAACAUCAGACACACUUCAGCUGUUUUUACAGAAGAUCUGAAAUAAAAGUUAAAUGUCUAUGCCAAGUUGCACAACAACAAAGGGAGGGAGGAGGGGAUUGUGCAACUUUGUUUUUGUGCUUUUUCCCCCCCAAGGUGACUUGGAGGCUAUGUGUGUGGACUCCAGACCAUGUCCACAUGUGACUGGGACAGCCAGGGCUGGAGGAGAGCAGGCGUGGCCGUUGACUGUAUAAAAGAGCCAGGCUCCUGUUCUGACUAGAGGGUAACAGUCAGCUCAAGGUCUCUCUCCCUCCACACCUUCUGGAAUAUUCCAUUUUGAAUAUUAUAUCACUACAAAGAAGAGGAUCUGUUUUUUUUUUACAGCUGCAUCCCGAUUGGCACCAUAUUCCCCUGACCAGGGGCAGGACCCAUUGAGGGCCAUUUGGGACACAACCACAGUGUCCUAAGUUGUAAUGAUUGGUUUAAAAAAAAGGUGGACAACCAGAGAACGUAGGAAAUAGAAGAACAGAUAGAGCCACCUGUACAGCAGAAAAGUGAUGACCUAUAAAGAAAGAAGUCAGAAAACAAAAGCCUACUUCAAUACGCUCAUGAUGACCUGAUUGUAGCUCUUGAAGUGAUCUGUAUUCUACAGAACUGCUCUGUCUGUUCCUACCCGGGGCUUAUGUGGGCUGGUGAAAAAUAAAUGACAUGUUCGAGUU